GAUGAAGAACGUAGCGAACUGCGAUAGGUAAUGUGAAUUGCAGAAUUCAGUGAAUCAUCGAGUCUUUGAACGCACAUUGCGCCCCCUGGCAUUCCGGGGGGCAUGCCUGUCCGAGCGUCAUUGCUGCCCUUCAAGCCCGGCUUGUGUGUUGGGUCGUCGUCCCCCCCGGGGGACGGGCCCGAAAGGCAGCGGCGGCACCGCGUCCGGUCCUCGAGCGUAUGGGGCUUUGUCACCCGCUCGAUUAGGGCCGGCCGGGCGCCAGCCGGCGUCUCCAACCUUCUAUUUUACCAGGUUGACCUCGGAUCAGGUAGGGAUACCCGCUGAACUUAAGCAUAUCAAUAAGCGGAGGA
rnacentral:misc_RNA from 1 species